AAUGAACGCUGGCGGCGUGCUUAACACAUGCAAGUCGAACGGUGAGGCCCCAGCUUGCUGGGUGGAUCAGUGGCGGAACGGGUGAGUAACACGUGAGUAACCUGCCCUUGACUCUGGGAUAAGCCUGGGAAACUGGGUCUAAUACCGGAUACGACCAUCUGGCGCAUGUCAUGGUGGUGGAAAGCUUUUGUGGUUUUUGG
rnacentral:rRNA from 1 species